rnacentral:rRNA from 1 species
AUUGAACGCUGGCGGCAUGCCUUACACAUGCAAGUCGAACGGUAACAGGUCUUCGGACGCUGACGAGUGGCGAACGGGUGAGUAAUACAUCGGAACGUGCCCAGUCGUGGGGGAUAACUACUCGAAAGAGUAGCUAAUACCGCAUACGAUCUGAGGAUGAAAGCGGGGGACCUUCGGGCCUCGCGCGAUUGGAGCGGCCGAUGGCAGAUUAGGUAGUUGGUGGGAUAAAAGCUGACCAAGCCGACGGUCUGUAGCUGGUCUGAGAGGACGACCAGCCACACUGGGACGGAGACACGGCCCAGACUCCUACGGGAGGCAGCAGUGGGGAAUUUUGGACAAUGGGCGAAAGCCUGAUCCAGCAAUGCCGCGUGCAGGAUGAAGGCCUUCGGGUUGUAAACUGCUUUUGUACGGAACGAAAAAGCUCCUUCUAAUACAGGGGGCCCAUGACGGUACCGUAAGAAUAAGCACCGGCUAACUACGUGCCAGCCGCCGCCGUAA